GAAGGGGCUGCGCUGGGAUGCACGAAGGGACCUUCAGGGAAGUUCGAAGAGGAAACCAGGAAGCGCUGUGAUCAGAAUCCCGCGGGUGGAGUGAGCACUGGCCUUCCCGCCUGGUGGCUGGGAAUUACCCUGACGACAGGCCAGGGUGACAUCUGACCUGGCCUUGGCGCAUCCUCAGCCAGGAUUUCUGAACAUGCAGGAGGUAUUUGAAGUGUGGUGUGUCGCUGUGUCUCUCUAACUCUGCCCCCACAAGGAUUCAGGCCCAGGCUAAGGCACGCCUGAUUUGCCGAGCAUCCCAGACUUGGCUGGUCUUUCCCUGCAAUUCUGUGUGUGCUUCUGGUCUAGGUUUACUACUUCGACUUUGUCUCUUCAGCAGGGUCUUUGGACGCUUUUGGUCUCAUGUGGGAUCACAAGCCAAUUUCCCUGACAUUCAAGUGGAGCUGCCCACCGGUUCCCAUUGCUUCCCCUUCUCCUUCCAGGAAGAUGAAGAAUCACUUCAGUGCUGUCCCUCACCUCAACUGUUAUUUAGUCUGCUUCAGAAGAACAUGUCCUCUGCCUGGGAACCACAAUCUAUGAAACUCUUACAGCUGAUGAACAAAUCCAUCGCAUCUGCUAGCAUGGCGCAUGCCUGUAGUCCCAGCACUUGAGAGGCUGAGGCAGGAGGAUUCCCUUCAGUUUGGAGCCAGCCUGAGCUACAUAGUGAGUUCAAGGACGGCCUGAACUACAUAAUGAGAACUUUUCUCAAAAAAAAAUUCAUUGUGCUUGUCUUCCAAAAAGAAUUUUUAAAAUACGAGUUUAACUGUAGCUUUUACUUAUUAGCUGGAAAAAUACUAUAGGUGGCUGAAUUUAAUUAUUACUGUUCAUCCAAAAGACAAAAGUCAUCUUUUGAUGAGAUGCAAUGUUUGAAUAAACAAUAGAGGACUAAAGUAACAAUAUGCAAUAUUACAACCCUUGUUAAGUUCCUAUCAUCUUGUUUUGAAAACCUAUGCUGUUAUUGUUUGCGGUUUGUUGUUGUUCAUCCCUUUUGCCUUUUGUUUUUCUUUUCUGUGCCUUUUUUCUCUUAAAUAAAUAAAAAUAAUAAAAGUUUUAAAAGAAUAGAGGACUAAAUAAUGAGUAAUUAUAUAAUUAUUACAUAUUCAGUUUUCCUGUCUUAUUUCAGCUCAUUAACUAAUUAUGUUAUUAUAAUUAUUGUUUUCACAUGAUUUGUAUCUAUGAUAUACUUGAUAAUGGCAUAAAAGAUGCCAUUAAAAAUGUGUUGUCAGAGUGCUCAUGAAUUUCUUUACUAUGAUGAUAUUUGUUUAAGCAUAUUUAUGGCCUGUAAAUUCCUCUAAAGCAUAAGGUAGAUAAAAUAUAAGACUUGCAGUUAAACUUGAAUUACAUAUAGCCAAUAAAUAAUUUUUAGUAUACAGUAUCUCAAACAUUGCACGAGAUACAUUUAUAUUAAAAAACUGCUCCUUAUAUUUACUCCAAAUUCAUAAUGAACUAAGCCUGCCAUAAUUUUAUUUACUAAAUCUGGCAAAGUUUGGGAUCCAAAGAGCAUAUCUUGUUUUUGGUCCAGGAUUAAAGACAGCAUUAAACUUCGAAGGCAUUAAAUAGAACACUAACAAGAAAAAAGCAGGUCCUUGAAUUCUGAAAGCCUUCACCAACACUCCUACCAAAAGAGAGUUGACUAUUUUUCUAUCUUUCACCAGCAGUAAGCUAAGCUUGGGAGAUUAAUGUCUUAGCAGAAAUAUGUAUGAAACUAGGAAACACGUGCUUCUCUCCCAGAUAUUCCUUUGUUUAUAAUGCUAUGGAGUGUCAUAUGCUCAUUCUUUCAUAUUGUUUGAAUAAUCACCAACUCUUCAGCUUAAUGUAUUGAUCCAUAUACGUUUUGUUAAACCUUGGCUAUACCUGUCACAAUGUAUUUGAUAAACAUAACAACUCUCUGGGGUAGAUUUAUUAUCUCUAUUUAGAGAUAUACAACUUAAACUCAGCAAGGCUAAAUAACUUUCCUCAAAUCACUCACUUGAUAAAUGAUGGAGGCAUAAUUUCAAUUUAUAUUGUUCCAAUUUUAAAGUUUUGGUGGAAAAGCAAGCAGGGUCACGGAAGGGAAAGGAGACCUAAUGUUUCUUUAGUGCCCUGCUUAGGGCUGAGGCUCAAUUUUGCAUAGUUCCAACUGCUGGCAACCUUUCAGAUUGAAUUCUGACCUCUCAGGGAACAAAAAGUGCCAUAGAUAAAAAGCCAAAUUGUUUCCAUAAGAAAGAAACACUAGUGCUCAAAAUAAGAAGAAAAAGAGGUGUGUAUGUGUAAAUUUUCUUAAAUGAAAAUGCAAAGGACUUAAAAUCACUGAAAUAAUUUUAAAAAGAAUACCACAGUUGGAGGACUGAGGCCCUCUGAUUUCAAACCUUGUAAAGCUACAGUGAUUAAGUACAUGUGGUGUUUAUAGAAAGAGAGAUGUACAGGCCAAUGGUAGAGACUAGGGACCAGAAAUAAAGCCUCACAUUUGCAACUGAUUAAUUGUUGAAAAAGGUACAAUGGACGAAAAUGGCACUAGGACAAUAGAAAACACAGCUGGUGCACAAAAAACACCAACAAACAUGAUGUACUUAAUGAAAAGUUUUUGCCCUAGUGUAAGUUACUGUAUGGUGGUGGUCUAAUGUCACCAAUGUAAGUAUAAAAUAGUGCCCUCUAUAAAUAGGGUAUUUUCUGUAAAAUUAAAUACAAUAAAAACAAAAUAAUAUGAUGGGAAAAAUAAGGAAAGACAUUGAAAUGGGCAAAAAGAUGAAUGGUUGUCUGGUCUGUUGCACCUCUUUGGAUUAUUAAUGCUCUUCAUUGUCUUUGAGCUACUCAUAGUACUGUUAAUUGUAGAAACUUGUUAUUAAAAAUACUUAUACAGUAUGCAUAAUUCAUAUUAUUGAUAGAACUGAUGAAUUUUAACUGAUUGAAUGGAAUUAAUUAUUGUACUGUAGAUAUUGACCAGUUUCGGUCUAUUUGUAAGCUGAAUUUAACAUUUCUUAUCUGCGUCUGUAUCUGCUUUUUGAGUUUUCCUUUGAAUUAGUUGAUAUCUUACUGGCUCACUGUAUUAGUCAGCUUUGCCUUGCUGUGACAAACGCCUGAAAUAAAUUAAUUUGAGAAGGAGAAAAGUUUCAGUCCA